rnacentral:rRNA from 1 species
UACGGGGGGGGCAAGCGUUGUUCGGAAUUACUGGGCGUAAAGGGCUCGUAGGCGGCCAACUAAGUCAGACGUGAAAUCCCUCGGCUUAACCGGGGAACUGCGUCUGAUACUGGAUGGCUUGAGUGUGGGAGAGGGAUGCGGAAUUCCAGGUGUAGCGGUGAAAUGCGUAGAUAUCGGAAGGAACACCAGUGGCGAAAGCGGCUUCCCGGUCCAGCACCGACGUUCAGGCACGAAAGCGUGGGGAGCAAACAGG